rnacentral:rRNA from 1 species
UACGUAGGGUGCGAGCGUUGUCCGGAUUUAUUGGGCGUAAAGAGCUCGUAGGCGGUUUGUCGCGUCGGCCGUGAAAUCUCCACGCUUAACGUGGAGCGUGCGGUCGAUACGGGCAGACUUGAGUUCGGUAGGGGAGACUGGAAUUCCUGGUGUAGCGGUGAAAUGCGCAGAUAUCAGGAGGAACACCGGUGGCGAAGGCGGGGUCUCUGGGCCGAUACUGACGCUGAGGAGCGAAAAGCGUGGGGGAGCGAACAGG